rnacentral:rRNA from 1 species
CAGUAGCCGCGGGAACACAGAGGCCUCAAGCGUUGUUCGGAUUCAUUGGGCGUAAAGGGUGCGUAGGCGGCCGGGUAAGUCGGAUGUGAAAUCCUGGGGCUCAACCUCAGAACUGCAUUCGAUACUGCUUGGCUAGAGGACUGGAGAGGAGAUCGGAAUUUACGGUGUAGCAGUGAAAUGCGUAGAUAUCGUGAGGAAGACCAGUGGCGAAGGCGGAUCUCUGGACAGUUCCUGACGCUGAUGCACGAAGGCUAGGGGAGCAAACGGGAUUAGAGACCCCCGUAGUCCCUGUCUCUUAUAC